UUUUUUUUCUUUCUCUCUCUCUGCCUCUCCAUAGAUUGUUUCUGUUUCAUGCCCUGUCUCAUUUCGCAUAGCUAAAAAAGAAUGCUAAUUAAGAUCCCUUGUCUUAACCUGAAAAAUAAUGACUCGGCUGUAAUUAGAAAUCUGGUGAGAGUUUAAAAAUUCUGGUAGGGGACCAAAAACAUCAGUUACGGUGCUUAGGAAGAAAAUGAAGAAUUAUUUUUCUGAAAUCAAGAUGGAUCUGAGAACGCUGUCUGGGCUUGGUACCAAGAGCUGGUAUUUCACAGCAGCGACCGCCUCACAGACGAGCUGUGGGAAGCAGGAGGGAGACUCUCUCUUAGGGUGCCACUACUAUGGAGACACAGCUGGGCUGAACAAGAUUUGCUUCAAACGACAACAAGAGAGACAGAAAGUAUCUGGUUCAACCGCUGCCCGAGCAGGCAGGCACCAGAAGAGCUAGCAGCCAAUCCGGCCAUGCUCGAAGCCAGCUCUGCAGCUCAGCCAAUCAGUGACAUCAUUGCUUUCUUUAGCUUGCCCAUGGUGAUGUGAAGAUGAGAAGAAAUAGCAAGGCCCAACCAGUUCUUCAUCUGGAGACAGUUCAACGUUCUGCAAACCAGAUCUUCAGGAAUUUUACUGGGAUAAUUAUCCAAAUAAAUUGCAAGCAUUCUAUCCAAAUGGAGCUCUUUCUGAGAUGAAGAGAAUUCUCAAUGUCAAGAUUUGAACAAGAAGAGAAUGGAAUACACAAUAUGGACAUCCAUAAAAAUUCAUCAGAGAGCAUUUUACUACUGAGCUGCAAAGGUAGGAAAAAUAAAUUUUUUUUGGUUAGAAAAUAUACUUCUUUCAUCUGCGUUUCAAUAAUUUAUUCCCCUUGUUAGAUAUACAUGGAAUUGAUAUUGCUUAUUCUGACUAAGUGAAAAGUGUUAUUUCUACUUACUGCUCAAUUAGAAACAUGUAGUGUUUAAUUGUCAGUUUGAAUUUUUCUUUCAUACUAUUACAGUUUAUAUUUUACUAUAGGCAGAAUUUCCUCUUUAUCCUAAAUUUUGAUAUUCUCCAUAAUUUCAUCGUGCCUUGACAUUGCUGUAUAUAAUUUCUAUACAUCAGGAAGGCAAUUCUGUGUGCAUGUGUGUGUGUAUAUAUAUAGUUAGAAGUUAGAAACUGAAACUCUUUUUUGUCUACCAUCAUUUCAUAUUUUUCUUGCUAUUUCAAACCUAUAAUUUUUAAAGAAACGACUAACGUAAUCAUUCAUAGAAUAUGCUGUCAGUAACUUAACAAUAUAAAUGUUAACAUGGAGGCAUUUAGUUCAGCAUUUGCUUUACUUAAUAGAGUGCAGAAAAUGUGGCCCUUUUCUCAGUUAGGGUGUAUGUGAAGAUAAAUUUAGAAUUUCUAGACUAGUAAAUACUUCUCUGAUAAUAACUUAAUUAUAGCUAUUUCAAACCAAAUUGUUUAAUUGUGGUGAAUCAUAUGUAAAUUGUUCAGAUGUAGGUCAACACCCACGCCCACAUUCUAGCACCUCUUUCCUAAUUCAAGACAACUUUGCAGUGCCUAAAAGAGCUGAACAGUGCAGAUUAGAGACAUAAGA
ensembl:lncRNA MIR99AHG mir-99a-let-7c cluster host gene